rnacentral:lncRNA from 1 species
UUAUGUUAAAGUCCCACAUUUUUUCUGAUCUUUCUUACUGGAUAAAAAUGGCAAUGGCGUAUAUAUAAAUAUAUAUAUUUAACCCUGGCAAACUAUAAGCAUGAUCAGUGUUCUCCCAAGGAUUUUUGAUGAUGAUGAGUGUUGAAGGUUUGGAGAUUCAGAUAUUUCUAUUAUAUCAGUACAGCUGAGAUUUUAAGAUAAACUUGUAACUUUCUAUUGUGUGAUGUGGAAACUCUCAUAAAGCUUAAAAUUUGUGCAGUUUGAUUUGUUAAGAAAUUAAUGUUGCAAUCAGACAAGUUUCUCUUUUUGAUGUCAUAAAAAUAUGCUUGGAUGUAUUUGAAAUGAAUAUAGCCUCAAUUUUGAUUUCCCUUUUCUUACUGGUCUUUCCCUUGUAAUAUUGUUGCUGUGACAUAUACUGGUAAAGUGGUGGUUAUAUGAAUAAUUUCAUUCAGCCUCCCCCUUUUUUUUUUAUCAUAAUAAGAGUCCAUUUGAAGUUGAUAGGAUUAAAAGCAAUGGUAUAUUUAAACUUUGUUCUGUUAACAGCAGGUUACAAAUGCUUUGUUAAGACUUGCAUAACUAUUUGUUUCUUAUGUGUGCAUAAAUUACACUUGAUAUAGACAAGUGUACAAGGAUUUGUACUGUUAGUAUAGAAAGUAAAAAUUAAAUGAAUUGCCGGGAAAGACAAUAUAUAAUGAAACCAUUCAUUUGAAUGUAAGUUGAGAGAAUGUUUGAUAAGAGAUGAGUAAUUGUCCAGACGACAGUGUGAAUUAUGAAUGAAUGUAAGAAUCAUUUUGUUAUACAUUGAACAAUAUAAUAAUGCCUUUUACAUUACAAUGAUAAUCUUUUCUUUCAACUUUUAAGAGGGUGUAUCAUUUCGAAUAUUACCUUUGUUAUGUACUGUUAUGUCACUGAUGUAUAAAACACUGUUCUAUUGUUUGUUUCCCUUUUAAAGUCCAUUCCAUUCCUUGGCAUCAGUUUUACUGCCAUUUCUUGGAGUGUAGUAUAGAAAAACCAAUAUCCUGGUUUUUUAGUGGAUUAAAAACAUGAUCAUGAGAAACAAUUAUUGAUCUGCAAUUGUUAAUGUUUAUAAAUACACUGGAAAAUGCUUUGAAAUUAAAAGAAAAGUAUGAAGGUAAAAUGCUAUGAAGUUUCAAAAAUAAGAGGAAAACUGCCAUACUGUCUGAUCAUGAGAGAAAACACACUACGUUAAUUAACUGUAGAUUUUUUAGCUAUUCAUUCAGACAUACCAUAGUACAUUUCCUAUAAUUUAUAUCUGCCAUGACCGUGGGUAAAAGUAGAAAUUCUAGGUAGACAAAAUGUUGACAAUAUAAAAUGUGUAGGUUUUCCACCGAUAAAUUGUAUUUUUCAGGAUUUUUAGGUGGGCUGGUAAUGACAACACUUCACCUUUCCUAGGUAUGUUUUUUUCUAUUGAUGUUCCUUUCUAAAGUACAGUAGAGCAGAAUGAAUGUGACAUGUUCUGAACGGUUUGCAUAU